CCUGGUGACUUUCCAACCAUUUUCUUUCUUACUUUCUAUCAUCAUACUUAUAUCUAUAACUAUUGUUGUUCAGGCCCUUGUGAGCCAAUCUGGCAUGCCCUUGCGUGGCUUGAAGCUCACUCCUUGUGGUGGAUACAGCACCUGCUCCCAGGCAACGAGACAUCUCUGAAGUCUUCUGAAUCACUCCCUUUCUAUGGAGAACUCUUGGAAGUGCUAGUAAGAACAGUGGAGGGCUGGUGGAAGUCACCGGCAUGUUCACAGCUGGAAAAGCAUGGCAGACCAGAAAUGUCCCCUGUGACUGGAACUGGAGCUGAUUGUCUGAGGGUCCCUCAUUGGCUUCGUGACGGAAAGUGGUUGAUUCACCUCCACCCAGCGGUAAUUACGUGUUGCUGCCUACUGGAAGUUCCCAUGUUUGGCAUUGGACUGGUAACACAGCUGCUGCCACAGCAGGUUACUGAGACGUAG
rnacentral:lncRNA from 1 species